AGUGAACGCUGGCGGUAGGCCUAACACAUGCAAGUCGAACGGCAGCACAGUAAGAGCUUGCGCUUACGGGUGGCGAGUGGCGGACGGGUGAGGAAUACAUCGGAAUCUACUUUUUCGUGGGGGAUAACGUAGGGGAACUUACGCUAAUACCGCAUACGACCUACGGGGGAAAGCAUGGGAUCUUCGGCCCUUGCGCGAUUGAAUGAGCCGAUGUCGGAUUAGCUAGUUGGCGGGGUAAAGGCCCACCAAGGCGACGAUCCGUAGCUGGUCUGAGAGGAUGAUCAGCCAACCUGGACCUGAGACACGGUCCGGAUUCUUACGGGAGGCAGCGGUGGGAAUAUUGGACAAUGGGCGCAAGCCUGAUCCAGCCAUACCGCGUGUGUGAAGAAGGCCUUCGGGUUGUAAAGCCCUUUUGUUGGGAAAGAAAAGCAGUAGGUUAAUACCCCGCUGUUCUGACGGUACCCAAAGAAUAAGCACCGGCUAACUUCGUG
rnacentral:rRNA from 1 species